CUGAACUCAAAUCAGGUAAGAUUACCCGCUGAAUUUAAGCAUAUUAAUAAGCGGAGGAAAAGAAACUAACAGGAUUCCCUUAGUAACGGCGAGUGAAGCGGGAACAGCUCAAGCUUGAAAUCAGCAUUUGGUAAACAUAUGUUUGAGUUGUAGCUUUUGGAAGCAGUUUCAAGCGACUGGUUGCGGUAAAAGUUCUUUUGAAUAAGACAUCAAAGAGGGUGAGAAUCCCGUCCUUGACCGUGAUUUAAGUUGUGAUACGAACUGUUUUCUGCGAGUCGGGUUGUUUGGGAAUGCAGCCCUAAUUGGGAGGUAAAUUUCUUCCAAAGCUAAAUAUCAGUAAGAGACCGAUAGCAAACAAGUACCGUGAGGGAAAGAUGAAAAGCACUUUGAAAAGAGAGUGAAAAGUACGUGAAAUUGUUGAAAGGGAACCGGUUGGUAGCCAAGCAUUUCCUAGCAAUAGGAAGGUCAACAUCGAUUGCUAUUUAACUGCCAGAAAGGAAAUUAUGCAGACUAGCGGAGGAAGGUAGGGAUUCGAGUUUCCAGAUCAUUCGUGGUUUGGUAUUAUGGCUCGAGUUCUGUUAUAGCCUCCAUGGGUUUGCUUUUUACGCCUAGUGGUGGUGGCGAUCGAGGACUGCAGCGCGUUUUCCAUUUAUAAUGGGAUGAUCUAAUUGUUUGAGAGCAUUGUAGUUGUGAUUUGGUAGACAGCAUGCUGACUAUCAUUGGCAAUUAUAUGAUUUUGGGCAUUUGGGAUUAAUAAGCGCUUUGGAUGUUGGCGAAAAGGCACUAAUCGACCCGUCUUGAAACACGGACCAAGGAGUCCAACAUGCAUGCGAGUAUCUGGGAAAAUUAAACCCAUAUGCGCAAUGAAAGUGAACUAGUAGAAACUUUUAUUAGAAUGCAACCGGGAUAGUAUCCUGGGCAGCAUCGACCGACUUUAGAUAGCGUUGCUUGAAAAGGUUGAGUAAGAGCAUGUAUGCUGGGACCCGAAAGAUGGUGAACUAUGCCUGAAUAGGGUGAAGUCAGAGGAAACUCUGAUGGAAGCUCGUAGAGAUUCUGACGUGCAAAUCGAUCUCCAAAUUUGGGUAUAGGGGCGAAAGACUAAUCGAACCAUCUAGUAGCUGGUUCCUGCCGAAGUUUCC
rnacentral:rRNA from 1 species